CCUGUCCCACGGGUGAUAAUGGGGCUGCAGCCCCUCAGCCCAGCCAGGAAAAGGGAACUUCACCCUUCUUGAGCAAAGGGGAGGACAGCCCUGUCCACAGGGAUGGGUUAUAGUGUCCCCUGUCUGACUUGGGACACAGGGGACAGACCCAGCUUCACCUGUCCCAUGCACAACCCCAGGGCACUGGUGUCAGCACAAGCAGGAUUGGUUGGACAAAGGCAACAGAGCUGCCACUGCACUGUGAGUUAUCACAGAGUACACCCAUCAGUGCAAUUAAGACUCUAACAGAGCAGUUAAAGAUGUUUUUCUGCACCCCACUACUGCUGGGCAGGGAUUUGACAUUGGGCUGCCAGCAUAUCUGGAAAAGAGAACUAGUCUGAAAACACAUCCUGUGUUCCUCUUGCAAGCACUGAACUGAAUGUUUUUUCCCCCUAACCAGAGCUAUUUUGGUUUAGUUUAACAGAGUAGGAUGACUACCAGGAAUUAAAAACGUAGUACUGCUUUUUUUGCAGGUUGCAAAAGUCAAAUCCCAUCAUUUCAGAACAGACACAUGUGCAUCAAGCCCACCAAGACAGUAACUGGUUUUUGAGUUCCCUCUCUUCAGAGCUUUCUUUCCCCAGCCCUGCCCAGAGCAGUAGAGUUGCUCUGGUGGUGACAAUGUCAGGUAAUGAGCUGGCUGCUGUGCAAGGAUCACAGGGCUGACAGCAACUCACUGGGUCUGAGGCUGGAAAAAGGGCAUUAAGCCCAUUAAACCUCAGUUAAGACACCAGGGGGCUUUGCCAAACAGUAAUUAACUGGCUGCCAAAGACCAGAAGAUCAGCUGCAGUAGGUUACUACCCACCAGAGCUGAUUUCCUCACUGUCACACAGCCCUAGGAUUAUGUUCUACACAUGAAAAAACCCCAUGUUAAUAAUUUAAUUUGAUAGAAGAUGGCUAUAAAGCAACAGGAAACAACAUGAGAUACAUCCAAAACUGUCAUCAGGAACCAUGGGAAGGAUUAGAAUAAGAAUAAUCACUUAAAGUUCUCAGCUGUUAUGACAACAAAACCACUAAAGCAGCCAGGACAGCCUGCAUCACCCCAGUAACCCCAGGCACAGAUAAAUAGCUACAGGUGCUAGAGGUACUGGCAGAAGCAAAAAGGAAGAUGGUGGAGAAGAAGGAAGCCCAGUGCACCCAUCAGGUGAGUUGGGAGGCAGCUGCUCUGGGGUACCCUGAGCUCAUUCUGUGUGCAUCACUUCAGUGCUGUGCCUACAGCCUUCCUCCUCUGCUCACACGAGUGAUCUGGGCCCUGACAUGGGACAUUUGUACCUUUAGACCUUCUCCUCUUUGAUGACACAAGAAGUUUAGUUUGAUGUCCCCAGCAUUCCCUGCCUUUGUAUUUUUCCUGCAGACAAAGAUAGCGAGCAGGAGAGUGGUGCCAGGGCGGCUGCUCCCUGCCUGGGGUGGGGACUCCCUUCCUCCACCCCCUCGGAGCCAGACCAUCAGCAGCAGCAAAAUGAAAUAUUCCCAUCCCACAUGCUCUCAGGAUGAAAGAUUACAUCCUAUCCUUCCUUCUCCUCCCUCUUGGUCCUCCACUGCCUUCCAAACAUGACGCUGGGCCACGUGUAUCCGCAGCAGCGCUCGCUCAGACAUGACAACCUGGACUUGACCCCUGAGGUUCUGGCUCCACCGAGUCUUCCUGGCCAUUUCGGGCAGCAGGAACCUCUGUCAGCACUGGUGAUGGAUGGGUUCAGUGGGAGAGAGGCCUUCAGACAAAAAGUCUCUCAAACACAGCGACAGAGAAAAGUAAAAUAGGCCCUGAGCGGCAGCAGCUUGUGGUAAGCAGAGUUUGUGUUCAGAGCUGCAAAGGACUGUCCCUCCUCAGGGACACUCGGUUGUCACCAUCCUUUUCUGCAGUCUGUGGUGUGCUUGGAAAGCUUUUUCUUUUGCCCAGGCUGGCUUUCAGGCUUCACCACUUUUCAUCUUAACCACCAAGAGCUGGAAAUAAAUCAAAUAGCAGCAAAUGUUUCUCUAGUGUGUCAAGAAGCACAGAUGCGCAGGGACUGCCCAGGUGGAGGAACAGCCACCACAGGUACAACACCUGCCUGAGGCCACAGCUCUGGUUAUGCACAAAUGAGCUCCCAGGAAUGAUGAUGGUCCAUGGGUAUCUCCAACUAAUUGUGAUCAGCCUGGCUUGACCAGCAGACAACUUUAUUAUAUCAUGACAACUUCUGGAUGGGAUCCAUCUCCUCAGAGCUGUGCUAUCUGCAAGAUGUCACUGAACUCAAGGUGAUCUGGCAUCCCUGUCCAGCAGCCACCCCUCGCAGCCCUGUCUUGGGGUGGUUUCCUUGCACUGCAGGAAUCCUUGGAGAGAGACAGCCUGGUCUUGGGGACAUCAAUCUCUUGACUCCUCUGCAGUGUUGGGGAAGCCAGUGCAGCCAGAAGAGGAAAUGGGGGCAGAGGAGAGAGGAUCUGACCUUGUGUUUCUGCCUCCUUUUCCAGAUUAAGCCAUUUCCUUAUAAGAGACACACACCCUGCAGUCCAAAUAUUAGCUGAGUUUCCGUUUCAGGCAAUACCAUGAGCAGCAAACCCAGCCCCAGCAUGCUCCUGUACCUGCUCUCCAUUGCAUGACAUUUGAACAUUGAAACCCCAUUAAUUGUUCAGACAAGCCUUUAAUUUGUGCGUGCAGUGCAGAUGGCAAGGUCCUUCACAGCACCAGUAGCCUGAGCACUGGACUGGGACAAGUCACAGCAACGCUUUGCUGCUGCCCUGACUGCACAUGGAGCAGAGCAGCUCUGCUUCUGGGGACAGCUGAGUUCAUGUCACUCCUGACUCCACCACCAAAGCAGCAAGGAGCAGCCCCAUUGUGCAAACCAUUUCCUUCAGCCAGGGGUUCAAGGCUGAGGACUAAUCCUUUGGGAAUAUUGGCUGUGACCGAGGAGUAGGGGGUGCUGCUGGAUGUGACUGUGCAUGCUCCAAACCCUUGCCCUUAUUGCCCGUGCCCCUCAUUCACCUGGUGCUUUAUGAUGGGCUUUGCUAACAUACAUGAAAUUUAAUUUCCGGUUAUUAACCCACAAAAAGGUAUUGCUGUUUUCAGAAUUACACUGCUUCCAAUUAGUGUUGCCCUUUGGUUUAUGGUAUGUUGUUUUUCUGGAAAACCUUUGAACCAGGCUGUGCACCAGCUGAAGGGCAUUCUGGGGCAGUUAAUAAAGAUUAACUCUUUGGAGCAAAUAUCUGUUCUGAUUCUGAUUGCCCCCUCACAAGGGAAGGGGAUCUUAGAAAAUCCUAGAUGUCUCUUUGCUUUCCUUUUUUUUUCUCCAUAUAUAUUUUCAUUCUUUCCAGUUCUCAUUUUCCUGCCUUGCCAAAGGCAGUGUCCUUCUUUCCGUUGUCACAGUAGAAUGGUCCUGACAAAGCAAGAAUUUCCUUCAGAUGCUGGACAUUCAGCCACUGCAUUCCUGCUAGAGAAAGCCUUUGGGCUGGCUUUGUCCCAUCCCUCUGUAAAACCUGUAUAGAGAAGAAAAAACUUGUGCCAGCAAGAGGAGAGAAAGUGCUUAUUGUCACUUAGGAACAGGGAUACACAAAUUUAUUUGAUGUUUUGCUCAUUGUUGAUUCUCACUGCUCACCUUUUCCCAUGCAACCAUGAAAUUUUAUGCCUCAGAGUCAGCUUUAGUGUUUCUGCUUUCUUUAGUGUUUCUUAUAAUUUACUCACCUCCUUACCUUCAAACUAUCAAAUACAAAGACAAAAGUGUCCUCAAUGUAUGUAUUUUCACUCUGACUGGCUUUCAGCUUAUGAUUGUUAUUACAUUACACUUCUAUCGUGCUGCAAAUGCUGUAGUUAAUUUCAUGUUCAUUUAUUUUGUUCCUUCAUUGGACAUUCCCCAGGCAAAAUAUUUAAAACCAAAGGGAAAAAAAAUUACCUUAGGAAACUUAGCUUUCAUUGCUGGCUUUCAGCCAAACAGUUCUCUAGACUUCAUGCAGCUCCCCCAGGAGACAGAUGGUUUGCAGUGUGGGUGCUUGUGCUGUACCUCUGCAAGGCAAAUCCUAUCUCUGAAAACCCACCGCUGAGUUCUUGGAGUUCCAGUGUGUGCAGAACUCCAUUAUCUCUACUUUCAAGCAAAGAAAGUGUUGAUUAGAGUAAUUUAUGAACAGGUGUGAUGUUUAGAAAGACCAGAUCCUCAUGGGUUUCAUUGCAGUUCAGGAGCAUCUCACCCCUCAGAUGCAAACCCAAGAAAGUAUCUAUGUUCUGGACAGCCAUGGAUCAAUAUAAUCAUUGGCAUGCUAAUUCCUUAUGGAAAUGAGUGCUUCACUCUCUGUCUGUUUGAACAGCCUUGUUUAAUCAGCUCCCCUGGACCUGCACUUCUAAAAUCCGCUCUAUAAAGCAACGAGCCCAAGAUUCCUGAGCGGGAGUUCUUGGCAGUUCCCCGUCUUCAGCAUGGCUGUAUAUCUGCAAGGAUGUGCAGCAAGCUGAAUGACUCCAGCCUUGGUGGGUCUGAGGACAUUUAUUGUGAAAAGCAGCUGGGGAACCAUCAAAGUAAUUGCUCUGGGCUGAUGUACGUGUUUCUAAUGAGUCUCACUGCAGAGGGAUUUAUUCAGUGUCUGCGUUAUUUACACAGGACAGCACUAUCAGUAAAAGACCUUAUUAUCUUCUCUGUAUUUGUUUCUGUAUCUUUCAGUUUAGCAACUCUCAAAUUCAGUGUGGCUUGUGUUUUUUUUAUUAUUUUUAUAGCUUGUUUCCUCUUUAGUGAUAUUAUCAUGGAGCCAAUAAAACUGCUUUCCUUCUACAUCUGGUCAAGGGAAGAUUUUGCUGGGUACACGAGUCAUAUUUCUGUAAAUGCCUCCAAGUGAAUAUAAAAAGCUGUUGGAAGCAAUUGAGUUUACUGUUGCCUUAUGUACUGUCAUUAAUUAGGAAAUAAAGUGAACUGCAUUUUAUAUCACUUGUAAUCAAAAUGUUACAGUCUUAAUGUGAAGUCUUCCAAGUGCAGAGCUUCAAAGCAGGCUCUGUUCUCGUACAAAUGAGCAGUGAGGAAAAAAGAUACAGA